CAGAGAGCUUGCUCUCGGGUGACGAGCGGCGGACGGGUGAGUAAUGUCUGGGAAACUGCCUGAUGGAGGGGGAUAACUACUGGAAACGGUAGCUAAUACCGCAUAACGUCGCAAGACCAAAGUGGGGGACCUUCGGGCCUCAUGCCAUCAGAUGUGCCCAGAUGGGAUUAGCUAGUAGGUGGGGUAACGGCUCACCUAGGCGACGAUCCCUAGCUGGUCUGAGAGGAUGACCAGCCACACUGGAACUGAGACACGGUCCAGACUCCUACGGGAGGCAGCAGUGGGGAAUAUUGCACAAUGGGCGCAAGCCUGAUGCAGCCAUGCCGCGUGUGUGAAGAAGGCCUUCGGGUUGUAAAGCACUUUCAGCGGGGAGGAAGGCGUUAAGGUUAAUAACCUUGGCGAUUGACGUUACCCGCAGAAGAAGCACCGGCUAACUCCGUGCCAGCAGCCGCGGUAAUACGGAGGGUGCAAGCGUUAAUCGGAAUUACUGGGCGUAAAGCGCACGCAGGCGGUCUGUCAAGUCGGAUGUGAAAUCCCCGGGCU
rnacentral:rRNA from 1 species